rnacentral:rRNA from 1 species
AUUGAACGCUGGCGGAAUGCUUUACACAUGCAAGUCGAACGGUAGAGGGGGCAACCCCUCGAGAGUGGCGAACGGGUGAGUAAUAUAUCGGAACGUGCCCAGUCGUGGGGGAUAACGUAGCGAAAGUUACGCUAAUACCGCAUACGAUCUAAGGAUGAAAGCGGGGGACCGUAAGGCCUCGCGCGAUUGGAGCGGCCGAUAUCAGAUUAGGUAGCUGGUGAGGUAAAGGCUCACCAAGCCAACGAUCUGUAGCUGGUCUGAGAGGACGACCAGGCAGACGGGAACGUGGACACGGUCCAGACUCCUACGGGAGGCAGCAGUGGGGAAUUUUGGACAAUGGACGCAAGUCUGAUCCAGCCAUUCCGCGUGCAGGAUGAAGGCCCUCGGGUUGUAAACUGCUUUUGUACGGAACGAAAAGGUCUCUCCUAAUACGAGGGGCUCAUGACGGUACCGUAAGAAUAAGCACCGGCUAACUACGUGCCAGCCGCCGCAGUAA